UACGAAGGGGGCUAGCGUUGCUCGGAAUGACUGGGCGUAAAGGGCGCGUAGGCGGCUCAUACGGUCAGGCGUGAAAUUCCUGGGCUCAACCUGGGGACUGCGCUUGAGACGUGUGGGCUUGAGUGGGGAAGAGGGUCGUGGAAUUCCCAGUGUAGAGGUGAAAUUCGUAGAUAUUGGGAAGAACACCGGUGGCGAAGGCGGCGACCUGGUCCUUGACUGACGCUGAGGCGCGAAAGCGUGGGGAGCAAACAGG
rnacentral:rRNA from 1 species